UCCACGAUAGCUCAGUUGGUAGAGCAGAAGACUGUUAAUCUUUUGGUCGCAGGUUCGAGUCCUGCUCGCGGAGCCA
rnacentral:tRNA from 1 species